CCCCGCCCCGCGACGCAACGUCCUCGCGCACAGGAGCCACCCAAUCGGGGCCACGGAACGAGGUCGCGCGGGGGCGGGGCUCCGCGAGGAGGCGGGGCCGGCUCCAAGAAAGGGGAAUAAUUGAAGAGCUACCUCCCUCAUCGCGGACUCUGAAGGCAGAUUGGUAACCUGGCGUUGGCCUCCAGAGCCCAGCUGGGGCCGCCCCCGCGCCCGCCCCCUCCCGCUGGGUGCAGCUCCUGGGCUCCUGCAAGCGGCCGGCGAUCCCCGCUCUGUUCACAGGAAGCCUGUUAUCACCAUCAGCUGCUGGACUCCCUGAGCUCCGCAAGGCGGAGGCCUUGUUUAUUCAUCCGUGUACCUCCAGCUUCUUCUUUUUUUUUUUUUUGUAAGAUUUUAUUUAUUCAUGAGAGACACACAGAGAGAGGCGGAGACCUAGGGAGACAGAGGGAGAAGCAGGCAACCUGCGGGGAGCCCUGAUGUGGGACUAGAUCCCACCACCCCGGGGUAACGCCCUCAACCAAAGGCAGACGAUCAGGAACCACUGAGACACCCAGGUGCCCGGUUCCUCCAGCCUCUAUUCGAGCUUGGAGUUUAAUAAAUGUUGAUGGGACUGCACCUACGAGGCAUACCUCUAAGGAAAACACCCUGCUUUCCUCUGCUUUAGAGAAGCUGUCCUAGAUGCUCACACUCAGAAAAGCAAAGGGGACAUUAAAAGGGGAUGUUAAGUAGUCAACAAAGCGAAGGCUGGGUAUGACAAAAUUUUUUUAUUUAGCUAAAGCAGAGGUUAUGAAAAACAUACUGGGAAGAGCAAAGUCUGACCACCUUAUGCUCACUCGGCCAUUUAUUAUAACAAGUUUAUGAAUAAGAGUGGUGGCUCACCUAUAUGGUGCUUUUAUGCUUUUCUUUUUUUAAAUAUUUUUUUAAUUUUUUAUGAUAAUCACACAGAGAGAGAAAGGCAGAGGGAGAAGCAGGCUCCAUGCACCGGGAGCCCGACGUGGGAUUCGAUCCCGGGUCUCCAGGAUCCGCCCUGGGCCAAAGGCAGGUGCCAAACCGCUGCGACACCCAGGGAUCCCGCUUUUACACUUUUCAAAAAGCAUUUGCAUCUGCUACCUUGUUUGGUAUCUGAAUGACUGUUAAAAUUGACAAGACGGUUAUUGCCGAUAAGAAAACAGGCCCAGAGAGGUUAAAUGAAGUGUUGGGAACAAAUUAAACUGAGUAAAUUUGAAGAUCUAGUUGGCUUUAUGCAACAUUCAUGAACCAGGUGGCAUUCCACCCAGCUAGUAAAAAGGAGCUCUGGGGAGAUGUACUAAAUGGAAGGCAUUUGUAGGCAGAAAGGGGCAGAAAAACAAAGUUUCUAGCAAAAAGUUACCCCCUUUGGUGAGGAGAGAGGGGGUCUAUCAGGCACAUUAACUCACCAGUGCUGACCAGGUUAAUUCCAGACUGAUUGAUUAGAAAUCACAGUCCCAGGAGAGGCUAAAACUGUAAUUAGGUUAGGUAUUUGAUCUUGGUUUGCUGAUGUGGGGCUCAGCACAAGUGACUCCAUUUUGGAUGUGUUGUUUCUAUUUCAACACAAGUUACCUGGAGCAGAGACAGACUGGCAUUUACUAAGGGUUUUCUGACUCUUGCAAAUUGAAAGACUGAACAGGUAAAAAAAAAAAAAAAAAAGAGAGAGAGAGAGAGAGAGAGAUAAUGCCUAGGUCAUAG